rnacentral:rRNA from 1 species
GACGAACGCUGGCGGCGUGCUUAAUACAUGCAAGUCAACUGAAGCAGUGGUAGCAAUAUCGCUGUGGAGGUGGCGCACGGGGGAGUAACACGUAGGUAAUCUGCCUUCAGGUCUGGCAUAACUCCGGGAAACCGGGGCUAAUAGCAGAUGAUGCAGCGGCUCGACAUCGAGACAGUUGUUAAAGCUAUGGCGCCUGAAGAUGAGCCUGCGUCUGGUUAGCUAGUUGGCGGGGUAACGGCCCACCAAGGCAACGAUCAGUAGCUGGUCUGAGAGGAUGAUCAGCCACACUGGAACUGAGACACGGUCCAGACUCCUACGGGAGGCAGCAGUAAGGAAUAUUGCCCAAUGGGAGAAAUCCUGAAGCAGCAACGCCGCGUGAGGGACGAGGGGCUUUUGCUUGUAAACCUCUGUAGUGAGAGAAAAAAAUCCCAAUCUUUGGGACAUGAUGGUAUCUCAAAAGUAAGCCCCGGCUAACUACGUG